CGGCGGAACUGGCCGGCCAUCCCGCCGCGGCCCUGACGCCUGGGCUGCGCUGGCUGCUAGGGUCAAGUCCCAGCUGACCUUUCUCCCGAGGAAAGAUAAAUUAUUAUGGUUGUGUGUGAGCGUCAGUGCAAAUGUUUUCCGAGUCCUCCUCCGGCUCAGGGUGACUUUUGGAUCCCCCGCAUUCCUCAGCCCCUGGCAGGGAGCGGCGGCGCUCUUUGUGUCUCCGGGGAGCGCACGCCACCUCGGGGGAAACAGCGAACCCGAGUUAGAACGGGGAGAGACAUAGCUUCCCCUAGCGUGAGAUUUUUAAUCUUUUAAAGCGCCCCGGUGAACCUAGAAACCCAAAAAUUAACUUGAACAGCAAAUGCUCUGGGUUUUACAGACGUUUGUUUCUUUGUCUUUUUUCAUUGCCUCUUCCGUGCCAAAAAUAUCUGUUCGCUGGAGAACACAUCCGGAAAGAGCUGUUUUCCCCUGUUCAUCCAGGAAAGAAGAGCAUCUGUCCCCCAGGCUGGGCUUUGUCUUCCUUUGCUUUGCGACUGCACUAGCACAGCAAGGCUACAUAAGGGGGCCUUUCAGCAGAGGAGCCUGGUGUUGAACUCGUGCCAUAGGGAAUGAAUUCUUCUAUAGACCCCUCGUCCUCUUCUGCAAGUUAAAGGAGGGGUGAUUUGCAAAAAAAAAAAAAAGAAAGAAAAAAAAAAAAAGAAAAGCAUAUGUGUAUGAAUGUGUCUUCCUGUCCUAGCAUUCUGUUCCUUUGUGCCUUUAAGUUCUUGUGCUUUUGUGUGGACUCCACUGUCAGUGUAGCUCAAGACCCUCACUAGCCUCCACACUCAUAGUUCCCCCUUCUAGAGCCCGUGUAAACUGGUUUUCACAGCAUGAGCUGUAUUCCUGCUGAAGAACUGGCUUUUACAGAAUUAGGUUGCCAAGCUAGCAAUUAGACAAUGAACACCCAUGGCACUGUGUUGCUAAAGGGAAAAUUCAGUAUUGCUAGAAACUGAAAAUGGACUCUGCAGUGUUGUUUUUAUGGGAAGAAAUGUGUAUGGAGAGAAGCCGCCAUACAGUGCAAGGCUUCAAAUCCAUGUCAGCUACCAUUGGUUUCUGGUUUACUUUAAAAAGCUCCAUCUGUAUCAUCUUGACCAGUGAAUCAGUUCCCAAAGUAUAAAUCAUUGUAAGUUAUUAGUAUAUUGAUAAAGGCUUAAAAGCAACUCGAAAUCUACAGAAUACCUGUGAUUCUCUCACAACCAGGACUCAAAGAACUAUUCUGUGUUCAGCCAAGGAGAGCUUUAGGCUGGCCCAUUAUUCCAAUCCUCAUUGUUUGAGACGAAAAGAUAAAUGAGGAGUGGUAGGCCAGGCCUGUGUUCUAAGAACAGGGAGGCGUGGCAGGAAGAUGAGGAAUUGAAGGCCAUCCUUCAGAGUGAGCUAGAAGUUCAAGAAGAAGCAUAGGGAACCAAAACAAUGUUCUGAGUCAUGUGUCGUGAUGACCAUAAAAGAAGAAAGGGGCAUAGGGUAGCCAUGGUGAUACAGCCUGUGUCCUGAAUUUGAGGGGGACAGGUGCUUAAGCCAAGGGCUCACUGGGGCUGCAAGUCAGUGGUACAGAGGUUCCCAAUGUGCAUGAGGCCCCGGGUUCUGUCACCAGCACCAUAAAGAGAAUUAUGCUUACAGAUGUUCAAAUGACACGUGAGGAUAAAACCCUGACCCUUUUGUCCUUAAGCAUGGUGACUGGUCACACCUGACAGUGUGAUGUGGAAAAAGAAGAAAAGCCCAAAACCUCAGUGAGCUUCAUUAACCACGUCCAGUCCAGAAACAGAUCUAGUGAAAGAGUGUAUGUGAAGUCCAACAAGGCUGCACUAGGUGAGGCCGACUGUAAUCCAGUUAGUCAGUUGUGAACAUUUAAGUUCCCACUUGAUACUUCAGUCCAGAUCUUCCCUUUUCAAGAUAUUAAAAUGUUAGUGGCCUAUUAAACAGUAAGAACUAUCAGUACUGAGCCAGGCAGUGGGUACGCACGCCUUUAUUCCCAGAGCUCAGGAGGCAGAAGCAGGUGAAUUUCCGUGAAUUCAAAGACAGCCAGGACUACACAGAGAGAACCCCUGUCUUGAAAACCAAACAAACAGAAAAACAAAAACAUCAGUACUAGUAUGGUGGGGGAAAUAUAUGAGAACAAGUAAAUUACAAGAUGUUAGUUUUCCUUUCCUCCUUUUUUUUGACAGUCUUAUGUUUCUCGGACUGGCCUUGUAUUUACUCUGUAGCCAAAAAUGACCUUGAACUCUGAUCCUCCCCUGUACCUCCUGAGUAACAGGGCUAUGGUGGGGGCUGUUGGGGUUGGGGGCUACGUACCACUUCCAGCUUAUGCUGUACUGGGGGUUUGAACACUUGGCUUCCUGAAUGCGAGGCAAGUACUCUACCAACUGAACUAUAUCCCCUUUGAAAUUUAUGUUCAGUAAAGUAAUUUAAAAAAACCAAAUCACUGAAGCUGGAGAGAUGACUCACAGGUUAAGAAUUUUGUCUGCUCUUCCAGAGGUCCUGAGUUCAAUUCCCAGCAACUACAUGGUGGCUCACAGCCAUCUGUAAUGGAUAUUAUAAAAACAAACCAAAUUUAUCAACUUAUUUUGUAUGUUUUCAUGCCCCUAAUUUUAAAAACCUACAUAUGUGUAAUAGUUAACAUAGGCUACAUAAAGAAUGUAUAUGGGUUGGGGAUUUAGCUGAG
rnacentral:lncRNA from 1 species